rnacentral:rRNA from 1 species
GCAAGUCGAACGACAUAGUGGCAGACGGGUGAGUAACGCGUGGGAACGUACCUUUCGCUACGGAAUAGCUCUUGGAAACGAGUGGUAAUACCGUAUACGCCCUCCGGGGGAAAGAUUUAUCGGCGAAAGAUCGGCCCGCGUUAGGUUAGGUAGUUGGUGGGGUAAUGGCCUACCAAGCCUACGAUCUAUAGCUGGUCUGAGAGGAUGAUCAGCCACACUGGGACUGAGACACGGCCCAGACUCCUACGGGAGGCAGCAGCGGGGAAUCUUGCACAAUGGGCGAAAGCCUGAUGCAGCCAUGCCGCGUGAAUGAUGAAGGCCUUAGGGUUGUAAAAUUCUUUCGCCAGGGAUGAUAAUGACAGUACCUGGUAAAGAAGCCCCGGCUAACUUCGUGCCAGCAGCCGCGGUAAUACGAAGGGGGCUAGCGUUGUUCGGAAUUACUGGGCGUAAAGCGCACGUAGGCGGACUUUUAAGCCAGAUGUGAAAUCCCGGGGCUCAACCUCGGAACUGCAUUUGAAGCUGGAAGUCUGGAGUUCAGGAGAGGUUAGCGGAAUACCGAGUGUAGAGGUGAAAUUCGUAGAUAUUCGGUGGAACACCAGUGGCGAAGGCGGCUAACUGGACUGAUACUGACGCUGAGGUGCGAAAGUGUGGGGAGCAAACAGGAUUAGAUACCCUGGUAGUCCACACCGUAAACGAUGACAGCUAGUUGUUGGCAGGCAUGCCUGUCGGUGACGCAGCUAACGCAUUAAGCUGUCCGCCUGGGGAGUACGGCCGCAAGGUUAAAACUCAAAGAAAUUGACGGGGGCCCGCACAAGCGGUGGAGCAUGUGGUUUAAUUCGAAAGCACGCGCAGAACCUUACCUACCCUUGACAUCCCGAUCGCGGUUUCCAGAGAUGGAUUCCUUCAGUUAGGCUGGAUCGGUGA